CUGGAGCCCACAGGCCCCGCGUGGCUGGGAAGAAGGGCCUGGCGCGGACCCCACUGACUGUCCGGUUGCCUCAGGGAGAAGCCAGCACGAUGCCCUGGGCUACCCAUAGUCCACCAGCAGCGGAGUGCAUGUAAGCUGGGGAGCAGACACCAGAAGAGGAAUGCGCGUUCUAUAUCCAUCCUGACCUCCUGGCUGAGGCUCACACUGAGCACAAGAAGCCACGAUUCGAGGAAUUCACUCUUACUCCACUUUCUGUACAACACGGGGCGGUCUCUUCAGGUACGCGUCUGGGUGGGGGAGUGGAAUCACCGGAAUGGGCUGGGGAGGGGCUGGGCUGGGGGGGGGGGUCAC
rnacentral:lncRNA from 1 species